GGGUAUAGCUCAGUGGUAGAGUGCACGCUUAGCAUUCAUGAGGCCCUGGGUUCAAUCCCCAGUACCUCCA
rnacentral:tRNA from 1 species